AUUGAACGCUGGCGGCAUGCUUUACACAUGCAAGUCGAACGGUAACAGGCCGCAAGGUGCUGACGAGUGGCGAACGGGUGAGUAAUGCAGCGGAACGUGCCCAGUCGUGGGGGAUAACUGCUAGAAAGAGCAGCUAAUACCGCAUACGAUCUAUGGAUGAAAGCGGGGGAACGUAAGGCCUAGAGCGAUUGGAGCGGCCGAUGUCAGAUUAGGUAGUUGGUGGGGUAAAGGCUCACCAAGCCAACGAUCUGUAGCUGGUCUGAGAGGACGACCAGCCACACUGGGACUGAGACACGGCCCAGACUCCUACGGGAGGCAGCAGUGGGGAAUUUUGGACAAUGGGGGCAGCCCUGAUCCAGCAAUGCCGCGUGCAGGAAGAAGGCCUUCGGGUUGUAAACUGCUUUUGUACGGAACGAAACGGUCUGGGUUAAUACCCUGGGCUAAUGACGGUACCGUAAGAAUAAGCACCGGCUAACUACGUGCCAGCCGCCGCGGUAAAAC
rnacentral:rRNA from 1 species